GACGAACCGUGCAAACGUUGUUCGGAAUCACUGGGCUUAAAGGGUGCGUAGGCGGCGCGGUAAGUCGGGUGUGAAAUCUCGGAGCUUAACUCCGAAACUGCAUUCGAUACUGCCGUGCUUGAGGACUGGAGAGGAGACUGGAAUUUACGGUGUAGCGGUGAAAUGCGUAGAUAUCGUAAGGAAGACCAGUGGCGAAGGCGGGUCUCUGGACAGUUCCUGACGCUGAGGCACGAAGGUCAGGGGAGCAAACGGG
rnacentral:rRNA from 1 species